UACGGAGGGUGCGAGCGUUGUCCGGAAUCAUUGGGCGUAAAGGGCGCGUAGGUGGCCCGGCAAGCGUGCGGUGAAAGUCGGGGGCUCAACCCCCGAUCGGCCGUGCGAACUGCGGGGCUGGAGCACUGUAGAGGCAGGCGGAAUUCCGGGUGUAGCGGUGGAAUGCGUAGAGAUCCGGAAGAACACCAAAGGCGAAGGCAGUGUCCUGGGAAGUACCUGACGCUCAGGUGCGAAAGCCAGGGGAGCGAACGGG
rnacentral:rRNA from 1 species